CAGACAGCGUUCCCACUAGAAUCUGACCAUCGUUGUCUGGGCUUCCAGGAUAACCUGGGUGAGCCGCGCUCUCUGGCAUUUCUGGGGCCUGGCUCUUCUCCCUGCUCCGCCAGUGGUUCCCGGGGAAUCAGUCAGAGCCCGGGCUGCGGCCUGGGCAUGAUGAGAUCACGUCCAAGUUUCCCACAGCCCAGCAAUUCGCUCUGACUUGCCCCCCGCGUUAUUGCAACAUCUCGACCCUUCCGAGCUUCAGACCUGCCAGGAAACGGGCAGGGGAUGUGUCACACGGCACCUUCGCAUCUCCUAACGGCGGGUCCCACGGCUGCUGACGCAGAUGGAAGAGAAACUCGGAGGAGAUGCCGUCCCAGAUGUAAAGGGGUGAACUCUCUCUUCCUCUGACCUCGACAGAAGUCCGAGGAGGAAGACUCAACUCUCUCUUACCUAAAGGCCCGGUGCCCACGGCAGCGCUCAGCGUAUCCACGCCGCGAGAGUUACUGGGCGUUCGCGGCUCGCCUGCGAUUGAGGAAUUCUACGUUCCUCAAGCUGAAGGCCGCUUCGUGCCUCCUGGGCCCUCGGAGAGAUCGGAGGAGUUGGGCCAAGGCCUCCCUCCCUCCCUCCUCCUCCUCACCGCCCUUUUGAGGCUGUACAUUCUGCUUCCCCGACAGACGCAGGAAAGUGGGGUCGUUCUAGAGGGAGACGGAGCCUUCCCCGAUUUAGGAACACAGGUGUUGGCCCCGCCGGGGCCAAAGGCUCCCGCGUCUCUAGGAGCUCCUGGGAGGAAAUUCAUCUGAAAUGUGCUCACCCUCCCUGGUGGGGAACGGGGCUGUGGGCGAGGCAGCCCAUGCGGGCAGGCGGCCCUUACACAGGCUUUCCAGAAAGAGCUGGAAAGCAGAUACCCGAGCCACAGGAAAAAGAAUGACCUCUUGCAGCCAAGAGCCUGACUGGAAAGUCCGCGUAAAGGACACCUGGAGGAAGUGGGGGGCUCCAUCACCUCCUCCGCCCGCCCAUAACCCUUUCUUCCUCACUCGGCCACCCCGCACAUCCGCCUUCCCGGAGGCUCACCCCAUCUUUGCCGUUCGAGAGCUCACUGGGUUCUCCCAACACAUCAGAGCUUUUUUUUUUCUUUUCCCUUUUUCUUUUCUUUCUUUUUUUUUUUUUUUUUUUUUCAUCUUGUUUGAAAAGCCUUUUGUGAGGUUGGGAGUGACCCAAAAGUCGCCUCUCUAUUCCUGUCUGAGGAGAGAGUAUUUCCAGAUCGGAGGCGCGGUCUGCAGGGCCCGGGCCAGGAGUCCAUGAAUACCGGAUUAUGCCUCCUACCCCAGUCUCCUAAGCGUGUGCCAGCCACAGUUCCAGAAUGAACCAUAAGCGGAGAAAAAAAAAAUUUGUGAAUCAAGAGGUUUAUUAUUUUCUCCCAGUAAGGAUUUUGAAACCCAGAUUUCCACAUUUUUAAGGGUUUGAUGUCAUAAAAUUCCCAUGUAUGAUUACAUUUUAAAAAACAGAGUCAUUGUGUGUGUGUGUGUGUUGGAACGUAAGAGGUUUAGCAUACAACUCAGAAAAUGAAUUCCUAAACCCAGAGUUUGAAAGGCACAGACACAACGGGCCAUCGAGCUGGGCAUCUGCUGCAACGAAUCCAUGGGAUGUUAAGUCUGUUGUCCUGGAACCAUCUGGAAAUUAAAUGUUAGUCUUCUGAAAAGAACCGGGACCUCCAAAUGUUGUUGUUACUCUGAGUGCAGUGUAAGCAGGUUUCUAUUUAAAACUUUCACACCGGCUACUUGAAUAUUUCUUGUUCUCCGAAGGGUACCCUCUAUACCUCUUGGAUUCUUUUCCACCUUCCCUUUUCCAUGUUAAUUUGGUUUAAUCCCACCUGCUGGCACGAAGGGAAAGAUAUUUAUAAACAUCAUCUAUAGGGGCACCUGGGUGG